rnacentral:rRNA from 1 species
GUAGGGAAUAUUGGACAAUGGGGGCAACCCUGAUCCAGCAAUGCCGCGUGAGUGAUGAAGGCCUUAGGGUUGUAAAGCUCUUUCGCACGCGACGAUGAUGACGGUAGCGUGAGAAGAAGCCCCGGCUAACUUCGUGCCAGCAGCCGCGGUAAUACGAAGGGGGCGAGCGUUGUUCGGAAUUACUGGGCGUAAAGGGCGCGCAGGCGGCCUAUCAAGUCAGGCGUGAAAGCCCCGGGCUUAACCUGGGAAUUGCGCUUGGGACUGAUGGGCUAGAGUUCGGGAGAGGAGAGUGGAAUUCCCAGUGUAGAGGUGAAAUUCGUAGAUAUUGGGAAGAACACCGGUGGCGAAGGCGGCUCUCUGGACCGAUACUGACGCUGAGGCGCGAAAGCGUGGGGAGCAAACAGGAUUAGAAACCCUGGUAGUCC